rnacentral:rRNA from 1 species
UAAUUCGAUUAAUUUCUCUAAACCCUCACAUCUUACUGAGCUAUUCUAUUUUAUAGAAGAACUUAUGUUAGAACUAGUAAUGUGAAUUUCACUAUUCUCCAAAAAUGUAGGUGUAAAUCAGAUCGAAUAAAUCACUGAUAUUUAACGCUUUCUAUGAGACUAUUGCAUCAACAACACAAGAAAAACAUGCAUUUAAUAACGUUAAUCUAACACAAGAACAUUCAAGGAAAGAUAAAAAGACGCAGAAGGAACUCGGCAAACCCGAACCCCGCCUGUUUACCAAAAACAUCGCCUCUUGCUAAUUAACACGUAUAAGAGGUCCAGCCUGCCCAGUGACUAUAUGUUCAACGGCCGCGGUAUUCUGACCGUGCAAAGGUAGCGUAAUCACUUGUCUUUUAAAUAAAGACUGGUAUGAAUGGCAUCACGAAGGUUCAACUGUCUCCUGCAUCCUAUCCAUAAAACUGACCUCCCCGUGCAGAGGCGGGGAUACAACCAUAAGACGAGAAGACCCUAUGGAGCUUCAAACUAAAGGCAACUGCCAACUAUUAUUUAACCACCAGGAAUUAACAAAUAAACAAGCAUGUAUGACCUAAAGUUUUCGGUUGGGGCGACCACGGAGGAAAAAAAAUCCUCCUUGAUGAWUAGGACAUUUAAUCCUUAACCAAGAAUAACAAUUCUAAGUAACAAAAUUUUAGACUAUAAUUGAUCCAGUCUAACUGAUCAACGAACCAAGUUACCCUAGGGAUAACAGCGCAAUCCAUUUCAAAAGUUCUUAUCGACAAAUGGGUUUACGACCUCGAUGUUGGAU